GAACCUGGAUCAGACUGGGAAAAACAUGAUGUCAGAAUUCUUAAAUCAUGCAUCAUUUUUUUGGAGACACGGACAAUGACAGCGAGGAGGAAGUGUUACCAAAAAAGAGAGCCAAAGGUUCACAGAAACUCCAAUCUGAGAACAACCUUUCACCUCCUGUCAUACCCCCUCCUCCAAGCAGCAGUGCUGUACCUCUUCCUCCCGUCUCCCCUGCCGAUGCUAUGCACUACUCCAGAGCCUCCCUGUACAUGGGUUCCAAAUAGAAGUCAUUCAGCACCAAUACCCAAGCAGCCCCCUACUGCAAGCCUGUACAGACCUGUCUGGAAGGGGGGUGCGGUCAGGACAGUAUUCCCUGCUCUAGUGAGU